GAGCAUAUGUCCAGCACCCCUGUCCCUCCCUGAUCUUAAGAAGCCAUGCUGUGUAAAGGAGACUUCAGAGCAUCCAAUCAUGAGGCAACUUUAACAGCCAAUCAGCAGCCUAAAUAUCCGCCAAUCAGGGAAGAGGGUCAAAGCACAGCCUUUCUGUCCGCGGAUGUCAGCAUUUCCGCGAAAGCUCCACCAAUAGAAAAAGUCAUUGCUGUAUGCAAAUGAGGGAUUAUGAUGCAGAGCUUUGGAACCAAGCGAAGGAUCCAAAUGGAGCUCCAUUUUAUCCAACUGGAAGAGCAGCUUAAUGGUAAACUCCACUUCGUCCAGUUCUCUUUUCAUCCAUCCAAUUAUGAGGCAACUUUAAGAGCCCAUCAGCAGCCUAAACAUCCGCCGAACAGGGCCGAAGCACAGCCUUUGGGUGUGUGGGGGCUACGUUAACACUUCCACAAAAGCUCCAGCAAUAGAAAAAGUCACUGGUGUAUGCAAAUGAGGGACGUAUGACGCAUAUACACAGCGUGAAACGUUGGGUAUAACAGCGGAAGUGUGGGGGGAUUUGGAGCGCAGAGCUGUUCGCUUGGUCCUUGGGGUAGUGAGGAUUUUGCUUUCAGCGACUGCAUCUACUGAGCUCCAGGAGAAAGGUCAGAGAAUCAGCCUAAGACUUCGGAGUAGGGUGAGUGUUGGCUUCUACCUGAUUGAGGUACCAUCAGCUGUGCCGUUGGAAGUGGAUUGUUGGGUGUGCUGCUAGUGUUUGGAGGGCAACUUCCGCUCUUACCUUAGUCACAGAAACGGUCUUUAAACACUGUGUGGAUAUAUGAUGGUCAAGCAGCUAAAAUCAGAGACCUGCAGACUUGCCUUAGCAUACUUCAUCAGGGAUUUCCUGCAAAACAGUGACUAGUUUUGUCACCUUUAUUUGUGCGAUACAACCUACUUAUCCAUAUAUACUUGUGCUCGUAUGUAUGCAUGUUUGUAUAUGCAUGAGUACACGCACAACAUUUUUCUCUCUUUUCUGCGUAAAAUCCUGAAAGUUUUUAUCUCUCCGUAACCGACAUCAUAAUACCAACCAACUUUAUUUAUCUCAUUCAGAUAGGGAGCCGUGGCUUAUAUUUGAUCUCAUUUAGUCGUCAUUAUAAUGAGGUGAAAUAUAGAUAGGACAGUUAUCACUGGCACUGGAGGGUCUAGGAAACUAAAAGUCAGUGCUGUUGAAUUGCCUUUCAAAGAAAAUGCCAGGCCUGCCACCCACAGUCCUUGCCCUUUGGCUCUGCGGCCCAGCAGGGUUUGGGGAAUGCGUGGUCAGAAGGUGAAACCUCCUUCUGGGUCAACUUAAGUGAAGUGAAGCUAGAAGAACGAAUUUCUUGUUUGCAGUGUAACUUCCUCUUCCUUCUAAUGUAGGUUUUGGUUUCCUUCAAACGUAUUAUGUGCAAUAGAAAACACAAUUUUCUACUGUUUGUUUUUUCUCUCUCUCCCCUUUCUGCAAGCCAUUGCCUAAGCAAAUCGUAGCAGAUGAAAGAAAGGACGUACUGCCCCUGCCAAAAGGGCUAUUUCCAUGGGGGUCACCGAAUACUAACUACAUCAUGGCCUGGCUCUGUCCAGUGAAAGAAGCCUCAUGUUAUCUGUGGCCUGGACAGGCAGCAUGGGAGCAGCUCCAGAGUUCAAAGCUAGGACUGGGGUCUUCUCACCUGCGUGGCCUUAAGAAGUUGCUUUAGUCCUUGGUGUGGGUCAAAGAGAACUAGCACUAGGAUGGUUCUGACAUUGUGUCUUCCAGUGACCAGUGUGGUUUAUUUCUAGGUUUCUAUUUUAUGUUGGCCCUGCAGCUGACUCUCAAAACUUGUGUUUUUGCAGCACGUUAUCCCAGGGAGGAGUGUGUCAGGCUUUGAUCCUGGUGCCAUUACUGUGUGACCUCAGGAAGCCUUUUAAGGGCUCUUUUCCUUACCCUGGGGUGUGGUCAGAAGAUUGAGAUGUUGGUUGCAAUGUGAGGCGCGUGGUGAAAGCAGAAUUGCCGUUAGGUAAAAACAUAAAGGUAAACCUUUAAGAUAUUACCUUGUAUACAAUUUGUCUUUACUGGGGGGGUGGGUAAGGU
ensembl:lincRNA